rnacentral:rRNA from 1 species
CUCGUGUCGUGAGAUGUGGUUAAGUCCGCAACGAGCGCAACCCCUAUCCUCCAGUUGCCAUUCAUUAAGUUGGGCACUCUGUGGAGACGUGCCGGUGUUAAACCGGAGGAAGGUGGGGAUGACGUCAAGUCCUCAUGGCCCUUAUGACCAGGGCUACACACGUGCUACAAUGGCCGGUACAAAGAGUUGCGAGACCGCGAGGUGGAGCCAAUCUCAGAAAGCCGGUCUCAGUUCGGAUUAGAGUCUGCAACUCGACUCUAUGAAGUUGGAAUCGCUAGUAAUCGCGGAUCAGCACGCCGCGGUGAAUACGUUCCCGGGCCUU